UUGGAGGGCAAGUCUGGUGCCAGCAGCCGCGGUAAUUCCAGCUCCAAUAGCGUAUAUUAAAGUUGUUGCAGUUAAAAAGCUCGUAGUUGAAUUUCGGGAUCAAUAUAUCGGUCGUGCCUUUGGUACGUACUGGUAUCAUUGAUUUCUCCUUUCUGACGAAUCAUGAUGUCAUUAAUUUGGUGUUAUGAGGAGUUAGGACUGUUACUUUGAAAAAAUUAGAGUGUUUAAAGCAGGCAUUAGCUUGAAUACAUUAGCAUGGAAUAAUGAAAUAGGACGUUUGACCCUAUUUUGUUGGUUUUUAGGAUCGACGUAAUGAUUAAUAGGGAUAGUUGGGGGCAUUAGUAUUCAAUUGUCAGAGGUGAAAUUCUUGGAUUUAUUGAAGACUAACUACUGCGAAAGCAUUUGCCAAGGAUGUUUUCAUUAAUCAAGAACGAAAGUUAGGGGAUCGAAGACGAUCAGAUACCGUCGUAGUCUUAACCAUAAACUAUGCCGACUAGGGAUCGGAUGAUGUUAAUUUUAUAAUGACUCAUUCGGCGCCUUACGGGAAAC
rnacentral:rRNA from 1 species